UGGCAGUCACCCUAAAUCUUUCCCUCUGA
rnacentral:piRNA from 1 species